AUUUUAGGGGGCGGACGGGGGAGUACCGCGUGAGCAAUCUGGCCUUUACAGGGGGGAUAACACAGGGAAACUUGUAUAAAUACCGCAUAUUAUUAUUUAAUCGCAUGAUUGAGUGAUGAAAGUGGAAACACGGUAAAGGGGGAGCUCGCGUUUUAUUUAGAUAGUUGGUGGGGUAACGGCCUACCAAGUCAACGAUAGAUAGCCGACCUGAGAGGGUGAUCGGCCACACUGGAACUGAGACACGGUCCAGACUUCUACGGAAGGCAGCAGUAGGGAAUAUUGGGCAAUGGGCGAAAGCCUGACCCAGCAACGCCGCGUGAGGGAAGAAGGUUCUCGGAUUGUAAACCUCUAUCCUUGGUGAAGAUAAUGACGGUACCUGAGGAGGAAGCCACGGCUAACUACGUGCCAGCAGCCGCGGUAAUACGUAGGUGGCGAGCGUUGUCCGGAUUUACUGGGUGUAAAGGGAGCGCAGGCGGGCUGGCAAGUUGGAAGUGAAAACCAUGGGCUCAACCCAUGAAUUGCUUUCAAAACUGCUGGUCUUGAGUAGUGCAGAGGUAGGCGGAAUUCCCGGUGUAGCGGUGGAAUGCGUAGAUAUCGGGAGGAACACCAGUGGCGAAGGCGGCCUACUGGGCACCAACUGACGCUGAGGCUCGAAAGCAUGGGUAGCAAACAGGAUUAGAUACCCUGGUAGUCCAUCCCGUAAACGAUGAUUACUAAAGGUUGGAGGAUUGACCCCUUCAGUGCCGCAGU
rnacentral:rRNA from 1 species